GCCUUCGGGCUUAUGUAUCAUAUACUCUGAAUGUGUCAUAGAAUGUUCAUGUUGCCUUAAAACGCAAUCAAAUACAACUUUCAACAACGGAUCUCUUGGCUCUCGCAUCGAUGAAGAACGCAGCGAAAUGCGAUAAGUAAUGUGAAUUGCAGAUUUUCAGUGAAUCAUCGAAUCUUUGAACGCACCUUGCGCUCCUUGGUAUUCCGAGGAGCAUGCCUGUUUGAGUGUCAUUAAAUUCUCAACCCCACCGAUUUGCUUCGGGGGGAUUGGACUUGGAGCGUGCUGGUGUAUGUCGGCUCCUCUUUAAAUGCAUCAGUGGAGAGAAACUUGCCCCAGUGUGAUAAUCCUGUUGCGCUGUGGUGGGUGAAAGUCUGCUUCCAACCGUCCCUCCGGGGACAUAUGUCAUCUUAUUUUGACCUCAAAUCAGGUAGGACUACCCGCUGAACUUAAGCAU
rnacentral:rRNA from 1 species